rnacentral:misc_RNA from 1 species
UACGUAGGUGGCGAGUGUUGUCCGGAUUUAUUGGGUUUAAAGGGUGCGUAGGCGGCCUUGUAAGUCAGUGCUGAAAUACCCCGGCUUAACCGGGGGGGUGGCAUUGAUACUGCAGGGCUUGAGUAAAGAUGAGGUAGGCGGAAUCGACGGUGUAGCGGUGAAAUGCAGAGAUAUCGUCAAGAACUCCGAUAGCGAAGGCAGCUUACUAAACUUCAACUGACGCUGAUGCACGAAAGUGUGGGGAUCAAACAGG